rnacentral:tRNA from 1 species
AAAUUAAUAAGUUAAAUUAAACUAUUGGCCUUCAAAGCCAAAUAUAGAUAGAUUUCUUUAAUUUG